UCGCACGAGAACGUUCUGGCUUUGCCAGGACAAGUACAGUGGCGGACGGGUGCGUAUCGCGUAGAUAACCUGCCCUCAGGCGCGGGACAAUCACGGGAAACCGUGGCUAAUACCGCACGUCGUCUGGACCCCGCAUGGGGACCAGAUGAAAGCCUUCGGGCGCCUUUGGAUGGGUCUGCGUUGGAUUAGCUUGUUGGUGAAGUAACGGCUCACCAAGGCAACGAUCCAUAGCUGGUCUGAGAGGACGAUCAGCCACACUGGGACUGAGACACGGCCCAGACUCCUACGGGAGGCAGCAGUGGGGAAUCUUGCACAAUGGGGUCACCCCUGAUGCAGCCAUGCCGCGUGGAGGAAGACACCCCUAUGGGGCGUAAACUCCUUUUCUGAAUGAAGAAACCCCUGUAGCUUCAGGGCGCGACGGUAGUUCAGGAAUAAGCACCGGCUAACUCCGUGCCAGCAGCCGCGGUAAUACGGAGGGUGCAAGCGUUGUCCGGAAUCACUGGGUGUAAAGGGUGUGCAGGCGGGGCAGCAAGUCGGAUGUGGAACCCCAUGGCUUAACCAUGGAGGUGCAUUCGAAACUGUUGCUCUUGAGUCCCGGAGAGGCUGUCGGAAUUCGUGGUGUAGCGGUGAAAUGCGUAGAUAUCACGAGGAAUACCAGAGGCGAAAGCGGACAGCUGGACGGGUACUGACGCUCAGGCACGAAAGCGUGGGGAGCAAACAGGAUUAGAUACCC
rnacentral:rRNA from 1 species